GAGGGGGGCCAGAAGCAAUAAGUACUGCUAAUCCUUAUCAUCCGCGGUUAAACUCCGCGGCUUCCUCG
rnacentral:tRNA from 1 species